UACGUAGGGACCAAGCGUUGUCCGGAAUCAUUGGGCGUAAAGAGCGUGUAGGCGGCUUGUUAAGUCUUGCGUGAAAUCUCGGGGCUCAACCCCGAGCGGUCGUGAGAAACUGGCAGGCUAGAGUGCGGGAGAGGAGAGUGGAAUUCCUGGCGUAGCGGUGAAAUGCGCAGAUAUCAGGAAGAACACCCGUGGCGAAGGCGGCUCUCUGGAACGCAACUGACGCUGAGACGCGAAAGCGUGGGGAGCAAACAGG
rnacentral:rRNA from 1 species